ACGUAGGUCACAAGCGUUGUCCGGAAUUACUGGGUGUAAAGGGAGCGCAGGCGGGAGAACAAGUUGGAAGUGAAAUCCAUGGGCUUAACCCAUGAACUGCUUUCAAAACUGUUUUUCUUGAGUAGUGCAGAGGUAGGCGGAAUUCCCGGUGUAGCGGUGGAAUGCGUAGAUAUCGGGAGGAACACCAGUGGCGAAGGCGGCCUACUGGGCACCAACUGACGCUGAGGCUCGAAAGUGUGGGUAGCAAACAG
rnacentral:rRNA from 1 species